rnacentral:tRNA from 1 species
GUGGCCAUAGUUCAGUGGUAGAAUACAGGACUGUGGAUCCUGUGAUGCGAGUUCGAUUCUCGCUGGCUACC